ACCUUUACUUUAUGCUUCUCCCAUCUGUGUAGGAAACACAGUCCUAAUGAUUAGCAAUGCAUAUUUGUAUUAAUUAUGCAGUGUUCUUCCGUGUUCAUGACAGAUUUAUAAAAAUAGAAGAAAAGAAAAAACCUCAGUGAUGGUUAGGACUUAGGAGAGAAAAAUAGAACGAUAGAGAAUUAAAAAGUACAGAUGUGUGAAGGUGAAGAAUGGUAUGAGAGUUAUGAGAUUUCAAAAACUGAUUUGGAGAUAUCAUAAGAACGUCUUUUGGAGAUGACAUAGCAAAAAAGAUCGUGAACGUAAAAAUAGGAUCGUGAUUAAGGAAAUAAAUUUAUUUAAUUUCGCUGAUUUUGAGGAGAAAAGAAAAUUAAAAAUAAUGAUAAAUCUAAUAAUAUU
rnacentral:sRNA from 1 species